rnacentral:tRNA from 1 species
GAGAGAAGUCCGUUCGACAGUAGGGACUGCUAAUCUUCUACCCCCCUCGGUUAAACUCCGUGGUUCACUCG